AAAAAAAAACCCAUACAAAUAAAUUUUUUGCUGAAGGCGCGCGUGGGGGUGAUGGAUUUGGAAACUACAGAGGCGCGAGAAUGGCAGUUAGAUCAAGACUGAAAUUUCACAAUUUUAGCUCAACUUACCAGUCAAAGAACUAAUUAAUUAGCAACUGACGCAAUCCAAAGAAUAAAAAACUAAAUGAUGACAGCGUGUUCUUCUGGAAAUGCGAGUCUACACGCACCACAAUGGGUUAGGCGAUGCAAAUUUCUGACCGUGUUUGAUCAAAGUUUAAAUUUUUAAAGCUUUAUUAGUGAGUAGACGUAAUUGGGUAGCUAUAAUUCGAUUCUGUUCACAUAUUGAUAUUUGGUGUGUUGAAAGGAGAAGUAAACAAGAGAAGAGAAAGUUGUUACUGAAUAUACGGCGUUUUGAAAUUUCUUACAACAGUUAAAAGUGCUGAUGAACAACAAUGUAGUUGAAAACAUUGGAUCCUUUUAUGGAAAGGACAGAGAAACAUGAAACACCAGAAAUGAGAGAUGGAAAAUGGAAACUGGUCCAAAGAAGAAGAAACAGUGACAUGAGAUGAGUAUCAGAAGAAAUCAAUAUCUAAAUAAUUACCAGAAGGCUUCACACCAAGGUCCUUUUCCGUUUGAGGAAGAUUCAUAACCUGCCUUGGCACCUCUGGAGGAUUUGCACAACGGAUGAGUGCCCAGUUAACAUUCUGAAAGAAUGGAUGUUGUUUGAUCUCUGUGGCACCACGCCUAUAGGCGAGACGAUGCUGAGGCUCCUUCACAAGCAACCCUCUGAUCAAAUCUCUGGCAGCAAAGCUAACAGUUGGAGAUUCUGGAAACCUUAGAGGCUCACCAAUUACAUUGAACAGAGUUGCACGGUUUGCAGGACCUUUGAAUGGUGUUCUACCAAACAGAAGCUCAUACAGGAAUAUCCCAAAUGUCCACCAGUCCACAGCACUUCCAUGCCCUUCACCCUUGAUGAUCUCUGGGGCCAAGUACUCGUGUGUUCCAACAAAGGACAUUGAUCUUGCAUUUGUUGGCUCGGCAAUUAGCUCAGGAAGAGGGGUCACCUGGUUGUGCACAUCAUUCUUUGGUUUAGACUUUUUGUCUUUCUUGGAUUUUCUGGAUAGAAAGCGCGGUGUGAAACACGACGGCCGGAUGCAGUCCGGCUGCAUCACGCAUGUCGGCUCGAUGCAGGAAGGCUGAACGCAGUAUCCUGAGCUUUUGGUCUCCAAGUUGUUUGAUGACUUCACUAGAGUUGGACUGACAGUGCACCUUAGAGAGAGAUCAAAGUCUGAAAGCAUUAUGUGCCCAUCUUCUCUCACCAACACAUUCUCAGGUUUCAGGUCUCUGUAAAUGAUCCCUAGCAUGUGCAAGUACUCCAAAGCAAGGAGAACUUCUGCCACAUAAAACCUAAAAAUCAAGAAAGUAAGUUAAGCAAGUGACAGUACAUUUAUUGAAUUAUUCAGACAAAUAAAUCAAGAUGCAUCAUACAUCAUUGUCAAAGUUCAAGCCUCCUACGCAGAUAACUAGAAGAUAAUAUACCAGAAAUCUUAAUCUAUCUGUCAGAAAUUGGGUUGGAGUAACAAGGAGUGGUUUCCACCAAACAUGAUAUAAAAAAGGCCAAAUCGAUACUUGCUGAAGAAAAUACCAAAAACUGAUAUUUUUAACAAGUAAAACACUAGUUAAGAAAGUGUUGAGGGUGGAGAGAAGCUAUUCAUAGUAUUCACCAGGCUUGGAUAGAAAAUGAGAGAGGAAAUCACACUCUGUAAGAUCACAGUAACAUUGUUCAUAGAAAGAAUAAAAUUUCUAUCUGCUGCUAAUAUAAACUUUUUUACACAAGUCUAAUCAUGUAUUGCUACUUUAUUACGAGAGCUUCAAAUGAUCCCCUUUUAAGUUUUAUUAAUGUAGUAACACAUGAUUUGAAAGAUAAUGUAGACACUUUCACUGAUUAAAACAACAGUGGAUUAAAUCAAACUCAAAGAGAAUCAGAAUGUCACAAUGACGGAAAAAGAAUAAGCAGAGAACUAAGGUAAAUUGACCAAUCAUUAAGGCAGAAAAGGAAAACGUAGAGAAUGUGCAAGUGGUAUGUUUAACAGUUAGUCUGACAUGGUCAAACAGGGUAGAAAAGCCAUGAAAAUUUUCACAGGAUGCUGGGGGUUGGCUACAUAGAAAUUCCAGGGGUCAUAUUGAUGACAAUGGACAAGAAUUACAAUCUGGUAGAUUUUCUUGUCAUUUAUACAAUGAAACCUCAAGGUGGUGAAAAGCUUUUUCUUCCCAAGGAAAGAAUAGAGUUUUCUUUCAAGACUAACAACAGUUUCACUCCUGGCUCAUGAUGACAUGAAAUACUAAAGUUCAUAAAUCCAAGGAACAUAUACCUAGCUGAUAUCGAGUUCACUUGAUCCUAAAAUGUUGUACAUGUCUCUUCCUGUUAUAUAGGAUACAAUAGCAAGAGUCAAAUUGAAAAGGAAUUGCUAACCUGACUGCAUGCUCUGAAAAAUACUUCCCUGGUUGUCUUUGCCUGAGCGCAUGCAGGUCCCCACCAGGGCAGAACUCCAUUACCAAGCAGGAAAAUGUUUCUGUCUCAAAGUGAGUAUACAAUGUAGGUAGAAAAGGAUGAUCUAAGGACUCUAAUAUCUCUCUCUCUGUCUGAGCCCUCAGGAGCUUCUUGCGGUUCGCCAGCUCGGUCUUGUUCAUGACCUUCAUGGCAAAAGAAGUUCUUGUGCCACUCAGUUCAGCCAGAUACACACUCCCUAUGUCUCCACACCCCAAUUUCUUCAACAACCUGAAAUGCUUCAUUUCCAACAUCCCAUCUCUGAUUCGAACAGCUUGAAUAGCCUCCCAUCUUAUGUCAUUUGCCUUGUGAGGUUUAUACAAAACACUGCUCAAACUAGUGGUGCUGCUCUCAUCACUAGCAUCACUGCCAGUACUUGCUCUACAUAUGCUUGUCUUCCUGCUCUCAUUAAAAUCACUGGAAUUCGCCACUUCUUCACUUUCACAUGAUUUGUCAACACUAGCACAUUCACUGACUUCAGUGUUGGUGAAACUUCCUUUGGCUUCUGAGUAGACAGUGGCUGAAUAGAAACUAUUCUGAGGACUUUGGCAGAAUGUAGCCUCUGGCUGACAGUGGCUCUUUGCAUGAUUAUCAACUGUUCCUUUCCUCUCGGAUUCUAACACUAACACACCACUUGACUCAAAACCCUUGGAAUCAUCAAGUGGUGGCUGCUUGCUGGACAAUUUUGUCGCCAACCCUUCUUUCUUCAAGUUAUUGCCCUCUUCGUGGGAAUGCUUUUGAUUAAUUACAGGACUGUUUUGAUGGUGGAUGAUCUUAGUUUCAUGACCACCAUCAUAGUUUCUAGAUGCUCUCAGGGGAGGCCGAGAAGGUAGGGGAGGCCCAGAUGAAAGACGGUCAUGAUUUACCUCAGAAACUGAAUUCUGAACCUCUGACAAGGAAUCAACUCCAUUAACAGGAGACUCCAUGAAGGGUAUCUGAACAGGCUUAAAAAUCCAACUCAGCACACUGAAUUACCAGCAUGUACUCAUUCAAAGAGCUCUUAAUAACAGAAUCUCCUACAAAAAUGUCUAUAAAAUGGACAUUUAAGAAAAGAAUCAGCAAAUAAAUAAGAUAAAGGACAUCAAUCAACAUACAUGACUCAUGUAAUGAAAUUAGAAAAGAAAAACAUUUAGAGAAUCUGUGAGAGAGCCAUUUCAGACGCAAUGAAUCAACAGAAAACGUCUAACUGAGCAUAAUCAAUUUAGUAAACCCCAAAGGAAAAAAAACCUUCAAAAUUCAGACACCUUACUCGUGACCCAAAAGAAAGAAUCACAGACUGCAAACUUUUAAAGGACUCUUCAUUAAGCCUCAAGAAAAUUCAGUUCGUUAAAUUUUCGGUUUUCCGAAUUUCCCAAAAACCCCAUGCUCCUUUUGUUUAUACUUGGCAACAAAAAAGACCAAAACAUGAUGUACGAAGGAACCUCAUCAAAGUCACCAGUAAUGCAUUAGACUAAAACACCCCAAGGUUGAAAAGUUUGAUUCUUUAGAAACCCCUUGAGCUUUCUUUGAUUCUACUGCAUACAGUGAUAAAAAAAAACUCUCCCAUAAAAAAAAAGCAUGGGAAACAGUGGUUAAAGUGAUCACGAAAAUAAAACAAGAAAAAGGCAGAGAGAGAAAGAGAAGGAGAACCUGAUCAGGCAAUGUGAAUGAAGAGUAAAAGAGUCUUUUUUUUCAUUCAUUCAUGGACGGUGGAAGAACAGCAGAACAAGCAUGUUGUUGAAGAAAGGGAAGAAGAAGAAGAUGAAACACAGAGUGAAGUAACUUUGGGGAGUCUUUGAACACACCACUGACAAUAGUGAAACACCCUGUCUCAGAUCCGAUCCAAAAGGAAGGAACUAAAAACAAUUAACACUAACA